CGUUUCCCCACCCUAACCUCCUCUUGGGUAUAACCUUGCUACCGUAAGACUAAUACCCCCUGAUAUCUCUAGAAGACAUCUGAAAGGGAUUAAAGAUUUAUCGGUGAUGGAUGGGGAUGCGUCUGAUUAGCUUGUUGGCGGGGUAACGGCCCACCAAGGCGACGAUCAGUAGGGGUUCUGAGAGGAAGGUCCCCCACAUUGGAACUGAGACACGGUCCAAACUCCUACGGGAGGCAGCAGUGAGGAAUACUGGUCAAUGGGCGAGAGCCUGAACCAGCCAAGUAGCGUGCAGGAUGACAGCCCUAUGGGUUGUAAACUGCUUUUAUAAGGGAAUAAAGUGAGCCUCGUGAGGCUUUUUGCAUGUACCUUAUGAAUAAGGACCGGCUAAUUCCGUGCCAGCAGCCGCGGUAAUGCGGAAGGUCCGGGCGUUAUCCGGAUUUAUUGGGUUUAAAGGGAGCGUAGGCCGGAGAUUAAGCGUGUUGUGAAAUGUAGACGCUCAACGUCUGCACUGCAGCGCGAACUGGUUUCCUUGAGUACGCACAAAGUGGGCGGAAUUCGUGGUGUAGCGGUGAAUGCUUAGAUAUCACGAAGAACUCCGAUUGCGAAGGCAGCUCACUGGAGCGCAACUGACGCUGAAGCUGGAAAGUGCGGGUAUCGAACAGGAUUAGAUACCCUGGUAGUCCG
rnacentral:rRNA from 1 species